UACAGAGGUCUCAAGCGUUGUUCGGAUUCACUGGGCGUAAAGGGUGCGUAGGUGGUGAGGUAAGUCGGAUGUGAAAGCUCGGAGCUCAACUCCGAAAUGGCAUUGGAAACUACCUUGCUCGAGGGUUGGAGGGGGGACUGGAAUUCUCGGUGUAGCAGUGAAAUGCGUAGAUAUCGAGAGGAACACCAGUGGCGAAGGCGAGUCCCUGGACAACUCCUGACACUGAGGCACGAAAGCUAGGGGAGCAAACAGG
rnacentral:rRNA from 1 species